UCGUACGUAUAACACCAUCUCUCUGGAGAGGGGCUCCUCAGGCCUGGGCUUCAGCAUCGUAGGAGGGUUCAGCAGCCCUCACGGAGACCUGCCCAUCUAUGUUAAAACUGUCUUCGACAAGGGGGCGGCCAUAGAGGACGGCCGGCUGAAACGUGGAGAUCAGAUCAUUGCUGUGAAUGGACAUUGUCUAGAGGGGGUAACUCACGCUGAAGCUGUGGACAUCCUCAAGAAGACCAAGGGAACUGUAGUCCUAACUGUACUUUCUUGAGACACAGCCCACUGUGUCUAAUUGUAGCUGCCUCCCGGUAUCACAGCCUCACACAAACAUGAGAGGAGUAAACCAGGACAGGUAAAGUCGUAUAGAGGAGUAAAAAACUGUUAAUUAAUUCUAGUUUAAUUUCGGGAAGCUACCUCUAACUGCAACUGGGUGCGUUAACGUGCACAAUUGCCCAAUAUAAACCCAGAUUCCUGUGAAGGUGUUAUUAGAAAUAAUUUGUGUAUGUUAUAAAAAUCUUCAUUUCCCUAUCCAAAUUACCUCUGUGUUGCAAACAGGCUAUUUUAGAGUAACCGCAGAAGCAACAAAGGCAUUUAUUAAACAAGCCAACUGAUAAUAAUAUAUUGUGUCUUAGUUAUCCUGUUCGAGGUAUUUAUAAUAAAGAUAUGCAAUGAUAUGCAUCAUUGCCCAUGUAAACACAUUCAUGAAUGAAUUACCAUCUCCAAAACCUCUGAUUCUACCGACAGUGCAUACAGUAUGAAUGCAAUAGAUAAUUUUCCUGUCACAAUGUCAGAUGUAUUUACUACUGUCUUACAUCUGUUCAUAUAGGGUUAUCCACUGUGAUUAACUCCUAAGACCCACAACAUGCCAAGUGCUUCUGCCAAUCUUUUGUAUGGCAAUAAGGUUUUCGGACAUUUGCUUUAGAAGACUGUUGAAUUUGUUUUCUUCAUUCUCAUAUUCUAAUCAAUAAGUGUUUCAUGAUUGCUAUAUUUAUCAAUGUACUUUAUCUAUCUUUUAAUAAUCUUUAAUAUUGUGCAUUUAUUUACCUAUUUGAUCAUGCUUACUGUUUUCAUAACCUAUACCUUGAUCUGUUGUAGUAAGUAUUGUUAUAGUGCAAUGUGCAACCUUUAUUUAGAAAUACUACAUGUUUUUAUGAAUUUAUUUAUACUGUAACAUUUAAGGUCUCUUCACAUUCAUUUAUUUAAUUGUAUUAAUGUCAGUAGUCCUUAGAGCCACAUCACACAUGGGUUUGGGAUUGUGUAACAUUGUAUGACAGAAUGUACUGUAAGGGAUCUUAUUCAAUGUUAAUUUGUUAGAGUUUUGUAUACAGAACUUUUUAUAGUUAAGUAAUUCUGCUGUUCUGCUGUCUUACUUCCUGAUGUACCUCAAGCAGGCACCUUAAAGCAGAUUAUAUUUUAAUGAGGAAUGCGAACAAAACAGAAAUCUUUCUUGAUUCUCUCUGUUGUCUCUCCGGGAUAAUACUGAUAAGCUAGUGGAUAUCACAUUGUUUGACUUUCAAAUUCCACAGAUGCAGACCAUAGAGAAGUUUUAAGAAAAUCUGCCAUAACUAAACUUUUAAACAA